AAAAGUCGUAACAAGGUUUCCGUAGGUGAACCUGCGGAAGGAUCAUUAACGAAUAUAAUUCGAGGGGUUGUCGCUGGCCUCGCUCGCGCGAGGCAUGUGCACGCUUCUCGUUUUUCUCUCAACUCACCUGUGCACCUAAUGUAGGAUGCCUCUCCUCCGGGAGGGGGGACCUAUGUCUUCGUAACAUCUUCGUGUAGAAAGUCUUUGAAUGUUUACUAUCAUCGAGUCGCGACUUCUAGGAGACGCGAUUCUUUGAGAUAAAAGUUAUUACAACUUUCAGCAACGGAUCUCUUGGCUCUCGCAUCGAUGAAGAACGCAGCGAAAAGCGAUAUGUAAUGUGAAUUGCAGAUCUACAGUGAAUCAUCGAAUCUUUGAACGCACCUUGCGCUCCUCGGUGUUCCGAGGAGCAUGCCUGUUUGAGUGUCAGUAAAUUCUCAACCCCUCUCGAUUAGCUUGAGAGGGGCUUGGAUAGUGGAGGUUGCCGGAGACUGGAUUCGUCCGAGACUCGGGCUCUUCUGAAAUGCAUCGGCUUGCGGUCGACUUUCGACUAUGGCGACAAGGCUUUCGGCGUGAUAAUGAUCGCCGUUCGCUGAAGCGCAUGACUGAAYGUCCCGUGCCUCUAAUAYGUCGACCGCUUAUUAUCUCUCCGGAGAGAACAGGGUCUUCCUUAUUGACUUUUGACCUCUAAUCAGGUAGGACUACCCGCUGAACUUAAGCAUAUCAAUAAGCGGAGGAAAAGAAACUAACAAGGAUUCCCCUAGUAACUGCGAGUGAAGAGGGAAAAGCUCAAAUUUUGAAUCUGGCGGUCUUUAGGCCGU
rnacentral:rRNA from 1 species